ensembl:miRNA
UAUGGAGUGGACUUUCAGCUGGCAUUUACGGGUCAGAGUUCUUACAGAGCUGCCUGUUCUUCCACUCCAG